rnacentral:rRNA from 1 species
UCGUAGUUGAUAUCUGGUAUAACGUACCUGGCCCGCAGCCUUUAGGCUUGUGUGUGCCGGCGCACGUUUGCCAUCUUUCUAGAAAACGGGUCUGCCAUUAACUUGGUGGGUUCGGGAUCUAGAUCAUUUACUUUGAAAAAAUUAGAGUGUUUAAAGCAAGCAAUUGCUCUGAAUACAUUAGCAUGGAAUAAUAAUCUAGGACUUCGGUUCUAUUUUGUUGGUUUCUAAAACUGAAGUAAUGAUUGAUAGGGACAGUUGGGGGUGCUAGUAUUGGCCGGCCAGAGGUGAAAUUCUUGGAUUCGGUCAAGACUAACUUAUGCGAAAGCAUUCACCAAGGAUGUCUUCUUUAAUCAAGAACGAAAGUUGGGGGAUCGAAGACGAUCAGAUACCGUCGUAGUCUCAACCAUAAACUAUGCCAACUAGGGAUGGGUGAACGUUGCUUUUUCGACUUCAUCCGCACCUUAUGAGAAAUCAAAGUCUUUGGGUUCCGGGGGGAGUAUGGUCGCAAGGCUGAAACUUAAAGGAAUUGACGGAAGGGCACCACCAGGAGUGGAGCCUGCGGCUUAAUC